rnacentral:lncRNA from 1 species
AUCACUGUAUCCCCUCCGAUUCUAUCCUGUCUACCACUUGUUCACAUCUCCCUCCCUCCCCCAGCCAUGGAGAACUGGAGGGCGGCGGCGCUCCAGCGAGCUGCCGGGAGGCACGCAGCUCGCUCCAGCGAGCUCGGAGGCACGCGGAGGCAACGCGGCGACGGCGGUGCUCCGGUGACUGCUUGGAGGGUGGCGAGCUCGGAGGCGGUGCGAGGUAGGCGGCGCUCCCCCGUGCAGCACCCACCUCACUGCUGCUGCAGGCAGCUCUCUCCGUCGCUUCUCCCUAUGCUCGUCUACCUGUCCAUGUUGUCCUCGAUCCCGCCUAGCUAGUGUCGCCCCUCCGAGCUCUUUUCGGACGAGUCCCGCGCGACGCGUCAGCCCGAGGCCGGCGGCGGCAAGCUAGGCAUAGGGCGGCGCGCGGCGGUCAGGCAGCGGGGGCGCGGGGGACUGCAGGAAGGAGCUCCGUGGAGGCGGUGGGAGCUUGGGGGAGGCGUUGCGCGAGAACCACCGCGGUCUCAAGUUGGAAGAAAGACUCACUGUACUUCUCGACGUCCAUGUUGCAUUUGAUAGUGUUGCAGCAUAUUUUUUUUGGAUGUUGCAAAACACUAUAGAUGUGUGCGAAUGUUGCAACAGUUCCCUUUUGGUGUUUCAUCUGUUAAUUUUGAUGUUGCAGCAUUUGUGUUUUAAUGUUUCACCGUGCUCAAUUUUAACCUAUCGUACGGUGAUUUUAUUUGGGAAUGUUCAUGAAAUAUGUGUUCGAUGUUGCGGCGGAAAUUUUUUCCUCAGGAUACGAUGUUUGCAUUGAAUUAUAUUUUUAUAUUUUUUCAAUGUUGCAAUUUUAUAUUUUUUGUGUUUUAAAGCAGCUCCGGACUAAGUUAUUUUUAAGACCCAAUAAGCCUACCACCGCCGUCCUAAGCCCCCGCCCUCGUCCUCCUCCCGGGCCGGCGGCUGCCUCGCCGUCACGCUGCCCGCCCACCCACUGAGCGCCGUUUGCCCUCGCCACUGCCACCGCCCUGCCCGUCUCCGACGGCUCCACCACCGGAGAUGCCGUCACCGUCUAGACCGCGCCCUCCGUCCACCCGCCGCUGGCACAUCCCCGCCCUCCCUAACCUCUCCGACACCACGCCCCCACCGGGGACUUGGCCCAGCCGCCGGCAACCACCACCCCGGCCGGCGGCGCUCCGCCACCUCGCCGCCCGCCCACACACCACCACCCACCGCUUGUUGAUUUCUCCCCCCAUCUUUUCUAACGCCGGCGACCAUUGGAGCUCCCGUGGCCCGGCAACCCCGGAGCCCUAACCUCACCGCCGACCUUGACCACCACCCCGGCCGGCGGCGACUUUGCCGCCAGCAGCUCCCCUAACCUCCCGUCUGCCCCUGUGCACCUCCAAUCCGGAACCCUAACCUUGUGACCAAAGCGGCCGGCGGCGCGCUUAGAGGAGAGGGAGAAGAAGGAGGAAGAAGGAGAACGUACAGCCCACGGAAUCUCAAAUAUUGGAAUUAUUUGAAAGAUGGGUGAGCUUCCCACCUUUUGGACUUUUGGAAGAUGUAUAGAAUUGGCGUAUUUUGCCCGGCCGCACAAGAUGGCCGUAAGGGAGUCUGGCGCCGACCGCGGAGACGCCGACUGCCCCACCGACGGCGGCGGGAGAAGUGGACGGCCAACGGGUUAGCAAUAUGGCAUGGCGCCAGGAUGCCCCCGCCAAAGAGCCUGCAUCUGCAAGUCUGCAUUACUUGUUACUGCGCAGGUGCAGGCCUUUCAGUUCUAACUUCCGGCUCGCCGCGCGGUCAUAGGUUUCGAACGGAGAGGCGCCGCGCGCCGGCUGGCCGGGCGGCGCUGGUGGCCGGUAAUGAGGGCGCUGUACGGCCGUACCAGUGAGCUAUUUAUUGGCGCGACUCCUCGCUCAGUGACUCGUCGUAGUGGCAAGCGCAUUGCGGGUGGGCGUGCAGUGGAGCGCGCUCUAGUAGUGGAGGCCUUUUCGUCAAUCCAACAAGACACGGUCGUAUCUCUAUGCCUUGGUUUGUGCUUUUCUUGCUUUGUUGUAUCAUGGUUCGCUUAAUUCCUUGCUGAUUUGAUCCGUUGAUCGCACGCUCAACUUUUGGUUUAUAUUAUUUUCUCUUGUUGCAAAGUUUUUUUAAUCAUUGCGACCUGAUGAGUUAAUUAGUCAGCACUCAGCAUCAGCCAGUAGGCUAGUAGCUACUCCGGCACCAAUCUUUUUCCUGCCUAGAGUAGUUUUCGCAUCUAGAACAUCCCUGAAAUGUGGGAAUAAGAUGCUUUUGGUUGGAAAUAUCUUGCAAACUUCGAAUAUUACAGCGAAUAAAAUAACAGGCUUGUUGGUACUACUAGAUUAUGUUGUCUUUACAUAGGCUUCAUCCAAGAUUAUGUUCCCUUUGAUUUGUCAAAAAAAGAGAGUGUUCUCUUCAAAAAAAAAAAGGUAAGAAAAGAGAAGUUGGUGUUAGGAUUAUUGUGCAGUGAAAUUCUUGAAUGACCUAGCAAGAAUCCCAAUACAGUAAAUCGCGAGUGGUGGAACUGUUGUAAGAGUAUGUUGGAUUUUUAAGUAUUCCUUUUUUUCCCCUGAGCAACUCAUCUUGGUCAGUACAUAUUUCAUCAAAGAAUCCAGUAAAGUUUGGUUCAUUGAAGGUUAUAAAUCAUCCACAUUCCGUGUAGCUAGGAUACUAUUAGCCUUCCUUUGAUACACGCGAUCUUUGUACUCUCUUAUGUCUAUUAAUUUGUAGAGUUGGACAUCUUUCUCUUAUCAUUUUCUGUUUCAUGGUUGCAAUAAUCCCAGGACAGUAAAUCAAGAGUGGUGGAAGUGGAACUGGGUCAAACAUUCCAUGGAUAACACAACGUGGGUCUUCCUGCAUAUGCUUGCUGAGUAUGUGUGCAUCAAUGGUUCUGUUCACAUUGAAUUUUGCUCUUGAAGUGCCCCCUGAAUUAUGUUGGACUUUUGGUGGGUCAGUCAUGUUCAGGGUAAAUCUGAAUUCCACUGUUCAGCUUAAAUUUCAUAACCUGCUGUUUUUCAGAUCCAUCUAGGAGAACUAUGACUGAGAAUAUUUUUCAAUAACUGAUCCGUUGCCACAGCGACUGAAAGAUAGCAAUUUCAAAUGCAUCAUGAAGAUUGAUACUUUCCAAGCUGUCAUGUUUGCUCCAGGAUCCCACUGCCACCAAGCCUAAAUCUGCAUUAUUGCCUC